rnacentral:rRNA from 1 species
AGCGAACGCUGGCGGCAGGCUUAACACAUGCAAGUCGAACGGGCGUAGCAAUACGUCAGUGGCAGACGGGUGAGUAACGCGUGGGAACGUACCUUUUGGUUCGGAACAACCCAGGGAAACUUGGGCGUAAUACUGGAUAAGCCCUUACCGGGGAAAGGAUUUAUCGCCGAAAGAAUCGGCCCGCGUCUGAUUAGCUAGUUGGUGUGGUAACGGCGCACCAAGGCGACGAUCAGUAGCUGGUCUGAGAGGAUGAUCAGCCACAUUGGGACUGAGACACGGCCCAAACUCCUACGGGAGGCAGCAGUGGGAAGUAUUGGACAAUGGGCGGCAAGCCUGAUCCAGCCAUGCCGCGUGAGUGAUGAAGGCCCUAGGGUUGUAAAGC